CAACUACUCCCUCUGUCCCAAAUUUCUUGUCUUAGAUUUGUCUAGAUACGGAUGUAUCUAAUACUAAAAUGUGACUUGAUACAUCCGUAUCUAGACAAAUCUAAGACAAGAAUUUUGGGACGGAGGGAGUACUNG
rfam:Triticum aestivum genome assembly, contig: Triticum_aestivum_CS42_TGACv1_scaffold_572983_7AS